rnacentral:rRNA from 1 species
CCUUGACCUCAAAUCAGGUAGGACUACCCGCUGAACUUAA